UACGUAGGGGGCAAGCGUUGUCCGGAUUCAUUGGGCGUAAAGGGCGCGUAGGCGGCCUUCUAAGUCGAACGUGAAAUCCCCGGGCUCAACCCGGGAACUGCGUCCGAUACUGGGAGGCUUGAAUCCGGGAGAGGGAUGUGGAAUUCCAGGUGUAGCGGUGAAAUGCGUAGAUAUCUGGAGGAACACCGGUGGCGAAGGCGGCAUCCUGGACCGGUAUUGACGCUGAGGCGCGAAAGCCAGGGGAGCAAACGGG
rnacentral:rRNA from 1 species